GCAAAAUUUAAUCAGCUUGGAUGGAUUACUUGGAUACACUGGAGAAAGCAGAAAACGAUAGGGAACAAAGUUUGCCAUGGUGAGACACCAGAGCUCUGAGGAGGCUCAGGUAACCUCUCCCAGUGUGCACGGUGCCAGCAAAGGGGCCCUGUCAGCCUUUGGGGAAGGCACUGAGACUUCAGUCAGCAUUUCCAGAGGAUGAGGAGUGUGCUGCUGAAGUGCUGGACUGUGGAUCUUCGGAUCUCUUGCUUCAUGGAGGAGCAGAAGAAGCCUGGCACAAAGAUGAAAAGAAUUGUUUCUUUUGGCAUCAGAGAAGAGAGAUGGAGCUGCAUCGGGACAAGGGGCUGGGAAUAG
rnacentral:lncRNA from 1 species